rnacentral:rRNA from 1 species
UACGAAGGGGGCUAGCGUUGUUCGGAAUUACUGGGCGUAAAGCGCGUGUAGGCGGCCCGGUAAGUCGGAUGUGAAAGCCCUGGGCUUAACCUAGGAAGUGCAUUCGAAACUCCCGUGGCUUGAGUUCUGGAGAGGGAAGCGGAAUUCUCGGUGUAGAGGUGAAAUUCGUAGAUAUCGAGAGGAACACCGGUGGCGAAGGCGGCUUCCUGGACAGUGACUGACGCUGAGACGCGAAAGCGUGGGGAGCAAACAGG